rnacentral:rRNA from 1 species
CGAGUCCGAGUCUCCACGGAGACGAAGUGGCGGUCAUCCAGCUUCCUAGAAAAGCUCUAACCACGUUAAUCUUUAGUUGCCUGUACCCGAAACCGACACAGGUAGGGGGGUAGAGAAUACCAAGGGGCGCGAGAUAACUCUCUCUAAGGAACUCGGCAAAAUGACCCCGUAACUUCGGGAGAAGGGGUACCACUGAGAAGUGGUCGCAGUGAAGAGGCCCAGGCGACUGUUUACCAAAAACACAGGUCUCCGCCAAGUCGCAAGACGAAGUAUGGGGGCUGACGCCUGCCCAGUGCCGGAAGGUUAAGGAAGUGGGUUAGGGAUUCGUCCCGAAGCUGACGACUGAAGCCCCGGUGAACGGCGGCCGUAACUAUAACGGUCCUAAGGUAGCGAAAUUCCUUGUCGGGUAAGUUCCGACCCGCACGAAAGGCGUAACGAUCUGGGCGCUGUCUCGGAGAGAGGCUCGGCGAAAUAGGAUUGUCUGUGAAGAUACGGACUACCUGCACCUGGACAGAAAGACCCUAUGAAGCUUUACUGUAGCUUGGAAUUGGGUUCGGGCUUGGUUUGCGCAGGAUAGGUGGGAGGCGAAGAAGAUUUGCUUGUGGGUGAAUCUGAGCCAACGGUGAGAUACCACUCUAACCAGGCUAGAAUUCUAACUUCAACCCGUCAACCGGGGGAAGGACAGUUUCAGGUGGGCAGUUUGACUGGGGCGGUCGCCUCCUAAAAGAUAACGGAGGCGCACAAAGGUUCCCUCAGGCUGGUUGGAAAUCAGCCAACGAGUGCAAAGGCAGAAGGGAGCUUGACUGCGAGACCUACAAGUCAAGCAGGGUGGAAACACGGUCUUAGUGAUCCGACGGCACCGAGUGGAAGGGCCGUCGCUCAACGGAUAAAAGUUACUCUAGGAUAACAGGCUGAUCUCCCCCAAGAGUUCACAUCGACGGGGAGGUUUGGCACCUCGAUGUCGGCUCAUCGCAACCUGGGGCGGAAGUACGUCCCAAGGGUUGGGCUGUUCGCCCAUUAAAGCGGUACGUGAGCUGGGUUCAGUACGUCGUGAGACAGUUCGGUCCAUAUCCGGUGUAGGCGCAAGAACAUUGAGAGGAGUCUUCCUUAGUACGAGAGGACCGGGAAGAACGCACCGCUGGUGUACCUGUUAUCGUGCCAACGGUAAACGCAGGGUAGCCAAGUGCGGAGUGGAUAACCGCUGAAAGCAUCUAAGUGGGAAGCCCACCUCAAGAUGAGUGUUCUCAUGGAGUAAUCCAGUAAGGUCACGGGAAGACGACCCGUUGAUAGGCGGUAGGUGGAAGUUCAGCAAUGGAUGAAGCCGAGCCGUACUAACAGACCGUGGGCUUGACC